rnacentral:rRNA from 1 species
AAAUUGAAGAGUUUGAUCAUGGCUCAGAUUGAACGCUGGCGGCAGGCCUAACACAUGCAAGUCGAGCGGCAGCGACAACAUUGAACCUU